ensembl:lncRNA
UUUUAUUCCAGGGAAGGGAAAGGAGGACUGGGAAAUGACACUGGAGGGUCACAACCCUCCAAAGUAAAGAUAAUCUAUCCAGUUCAAAGGAGAAGACCCACAUCAGACAACUUAAAAUGGAACCAGAGCUAUUGUGACUUCUUGUGUUUACAUGCAUGGGAAUAUGUGAAGCGCCACUUAUGGAAGAAUGUACAUCCAGAAACCACACAUAAACAGGAUAUAUUCGUGACAAGACAACCUCCCAAACUGCAAAGCUUUGAGUUGUCUACUGAUGUCAUUGAAAUAUUCUCUGACAAACCUGCUCCCCACAAGGUAUCAUUUCCCACUAUUUUCCAACACUUAUUGCUCUCUCCUCUAGCUGAUUAUCUGUCCCAGACAGUCAUCCUUUAUUCUUCAUACUUCACCAAUAUGACCUGGUAUAAUAGGUACUUUCCUCCCUGUCCCCUCUAUAGCUCCUUUAAACCCUCAUUAGGAUUGUAUUUUAAUUUAAAAAUCUAAGAAUUUUGAUUUUUUGUUUGAGAUUGUAUUUUUAUGAAAAUCCAAGAAUUUUGAUUUUGUUCGAGAAAAUAUCUUCAAGAAAGAAGCUUGAAACUCCUAUAUCCAGAAAAUGAAUUGUUGCAGAAAGUCCACACUACAUCAAGAAGAUCAAGAAUGAAUUUUGAAUAUGGUUGAUUGAACUGAACAUUGAUUGAACAUUUAUUGUAAUUGUAUAUAUGUAUGCCAAAAGGGACUGCCCCUAAUUUGGCUUUCUGUCAAUGCGCCUAGCAAAACAUUGGUUUUGCUUUCUUUUCUUUUCUAUUUCCUCCCUCACUGUUCUAAUUCCUCUUAGAAAAUUGAAUAUUGUGUAUAUCUAUAGUUAGAAGUGCAUUUAGGAUUACAAAAUGAUUAUGUUAAAUGAUCAGUGGGGAGACUAGUCUCCCAAUGAUCAUCAGGGGGAAUUGUAAAUCUUGAAAUUUCUCAGACUUAUGAAUGUUAAAAAUUUCCACAUUGGGGAAUUCUCCAUUGGAACAAUUCCCUACUGGGAACAUUCCCCAUUUAAAAUGUGAGAACUCUACUUGGAUAAGAAAUGGGAGGACCUCUACUCCACACAUACUUAAGACUGCUUUAGGGGAGAAAACUCCUUGCUAAACAAUGAAAGUACUUAGACCCAUACUUAUAAUGAGGCAAGGAGUUCUUUGAGCCAUGCCUGUUUUUAGAAUUAAUACAAUGGGGUGCUAAGUACCUAUUAAAGGUCAGGCAACUUGUAAACUUGCCUAGAGCAAAGAGGUGAAAACUUAUUCAGAAGUUUUUUCUGGUACAAACUUACUAAAGGGAUUAGUCGACCCAGCAGUGUUUUUAGAAUGGAUUGUCCUUUGGAAAACAUCUACUGUGAUUGGUAGAUGUAAGGACUUAGGGGAGGUGACAUAGGAGAAAACCCCCUAUAUAAGAAAAAGCAGAAUCUCUUGAAGUGAAGCUCUUGAGAGAGGCUCUGGAGAAGGGAAGCUCUUGGAGGACAAUCUCUAAGGAGGUCUUGCUGGAGCUCCUCUAAGGGGACUCUGUCCCUCUGGAGGCUCUUGAGAGAGGCCCUUUGAAACAGUCUCUGGCUGGAACUCUCUCUGAGGAGACUCUGUCACUAGAAUCCUUGCUUAGACAGACCUUGUGGUGAGUGAUAAAAAACUGACUGACUGAUCUCUCUCUCUCUUAAGACUCAGGUCUAGGCCAUGUUGGCUUAAGGCCCUUCACACUUAUUCCUUUCUUACUCUUUCUCUCUUUCUUUAAUUCCUCAUUGUAUCAUUAAUUAAAUUCUCUAUAAAACCCAGUUGACUUGGGUAUAUUCAUAAUUGGGAAUAUUUCCCUGGUGACCACCUUAUAUUUGAUUUAAAACCAAGACACUGUAGUGAAACAUAUUUUCUGCAGUCACAAAUUUACUCACCCACUCUUAUAUCUACUAUAAUUUAUAUCUUCCACUAUUUUACUCACUACAGUUUACAAUCUCAACCAUUUUAACUCUUUUAAUCACCACAUUUUACGACCAUAACUAUUUUAAAUAUAACAGAUGUAAGCUCUCUUAGGGGUUAUAUAUGUAUCUCCAGUGCUUAGCAGAAUGUUUGUCACAUAGUUGUUGUUCAGCCUUCAGGGUUUGUUUGUUUUUGUUUUUAUUGAAAAUUUUUAUUUAAUAAAUUUAGAAUAUUUUCCCA